GAGGGUCUCGUCCACAUGAGAGGUGAGGGCUCGUGUGCGAUAGCGGCGCGUCAAAGCGCUGCUGCUCGACAGCUUCCCACUCGAAGACGCGGCGCUUUGAGGCUGAAAUAAUGUCAAAUGACCAACUAGUGCAGUAGGCGAUCUGGGAAAUGCUAACUUUAGCCUGCUAGCAUUGAAAGCAUACAAUCUCUCACUCUCCCUGCAAAGCGUCGUCCAAAGCCACUCCAAAACACAGGAACGCGCACAGACCACAAGAGAGACGACCAGAGACAACAUUAUUGCCUGGAUUACAUCAUGUGUUGUUCACAGAAACCAUGGAAACACCAAAGACGCUUGAAUGCAUUACACGUUUUAUUUGACAAGGGAACAACUGUCAGGCUUUAUCAGAAUCAACAGGUGUUUAUUUAAACAGAGGCACGGACACUGGCAACGGAGAGUAUGAGUCAAUGAACAAGUACUUUGGAACAGUGACUUAGCUGGAGAGUUAAUAGAUGAAUGUCUUUGCAGGUGACGGGUCCACAGGGAAUAGAGAGCUGAUGACAGAUGGAAGAGGAUUCGGGGAUACAGGUGCAGGUGAUUGGUAACUGAGUGCAGGUGAGGAAACAGAGGGAUGCUGGGAAAUGGAGUUCUGGGAAGGCCACGACUGCCCCGAGAUUGCACAGACUGCAUGGAGAUUAAGCCAGUGUCCACCACAGAUGGAGAGCUUACGCCUUCGAUGAAGGAGCCAGAGCCCCAUUGUGAGUCUGACUAGGUGUGUGAGCUACAACGUGUGUCGUCGUGGGGUUACUGGUGGAGUUCGAGUGUUUGGAGGAAAACCCCAUCCACUACCCUACUGCUGAGGCCCCACCUCUGCUGGUUCCCUACAGCCCCUCGACUUCUCCUCUAACACCAUUCUGUUGUGUGGAUAAGCCUCAGGAUUUCCAGUCUCCAGCGUUGCCCAGGCAAGUGGAUCUCCCAGCAUUGGUGCCGUGACCCGGAUGGGAGUGAGGUUUAGGAGGGUGAGUGUAACGGAGGCCAGCUAGUGAGAGCUGUGCAGGUAAACCUAACUCCCCUGAUCCCAAGAGGUACGACUGAUGCUAGAGACUGUGGUCUUUAGCAUCCUUGUUAGGGCAUCCCCCUUCCACGCUGGAGAUGCCGAUUUGAGUCCCGCUUGAAGCAGUGGUGAGAAGGACCGGAGGGUUUACAUAUGGCUUGAGUAGGAAUUAUUUUAAUGAGUAAUAUUGUAACAUCCUUGUUUCCUGAAAUAAACUCAAGACUACACUCACUCCAUACUCCCUUUGUGCUUUGUAACUUUGCAGACCUUUUUCUUGCUCUAACAGCAACAUUAUACACUAUAUAAACUAAAGAAAGUAAAAAAAAAAAAAGAGAGAAGUAAACAACAAAACAAAAAACAAUAGAUCCUCUUUAAAUAUUUAAGUAUUUUAGUGUGGUUACUGGUGCUCACCAAGGACGUCUACACAAGUGAUCUCAAAAUUCCAAACAUACACGGAAUACAGUACCUCAGGGAUGAGUAUACAGUACCCGGAAUACAGUACCCAGAGGUGAGUUAGCAUUUUAGGACUUCCGGUUCCAUGGCC